CACGUUGGAACCGCCCCAAAGUGAGAAUAAGCCACCGAAAGGUGGUCUAAUACUUCAUAAUAUCCAUCUCGUAUGGAUUAAAGCUUUAUGCGCUUUGGGAGGGGCCUGCGUAACAUUAGCUAGUUGGUGAGGUAAAAGCUCACCAAGGCUUCGAUGUUUAACUGGUUUGAGAGGAUGACCAGUCACACUGGGACUGAGAUACGGCCCAGACUCCUACGGGAGGCAGCAGUAAGGAAUCUUCCACAAUGGGGCAACCCUGAUGGAGCAAUACCGCGUGCAGGAUGAAGCGUUUCGGCGUGUAAACUGCUUUUAUCACCGAAGAUUAUGACUGUAGGUGAAGAAUAAGGACCGGCUAACUACGUG
rnacentral:rRNA from 1 species